GUCCUUUAGAUAUUAAUUUAAGGUCUAACCUGCCCACUGAAUUAUUUUUAAAUGGCCGCAGUAAUUUGACUGUGCAAAGGUAGCAUAAUCAUUAGUUUUUUAAUUAAAAGCUUGUAUGAAAGGUUGGACGAAGUAAAAUCUGUCUCUAAUUAAAUUAAUUUAGAAUUUAACUUUUAAGUUAAAAGGCUUAAAUUUAACUAAAAGACGAGAAGACCCUAUAGAUCUUUAUAUCUUAAUUAUUAGAUUUAAUUAUGAAUUUUUUAAAUUUUAUUAGUAAAGUUAUUUUAUUGGGGUAAUAUAAAGAUUAAAAUAAUUCUUUUUUUUUAUUUACAUUAAUUUAUGAGUUUUAUGAUCCAAUUUUAUUGAUUAAAAGAUUAAGUUACCUUAGGGAUAACAGCGUAAUUUUUUUAGAGAGUUCUUAUCGAUAAAAAAGUUUGCGACCUCGAUGUUGGAUUAAAGAUUAUUUUAGGUGCAGAAGUUUAAAAAUUUUGGUCUGUUCGACCAUUAAAUCUUUACAUGAUCUGAGUUCAGACCGGUGUAAGCCAGGUCGGUUUCUAUCUUUAGUAAAUUAAAAUAUUUUAGUACGAAAGGACCAAUUAUUUGAUAUAUUAAUAUUUAUAAUUUUUGUUUAUUAUUAAA
rnacentral:rRNA from 2 species